rnacentral:rRNA from 1 species
UACAGAGGGUGCAAGCGUUGUUCGGAAUUAUUGGGCGUAAAGCGCGUGUAGGCGGCUUUGCAAGUCGGGUGUGAAAGCCCUCAGCUCAACUGAGGAAGUGCGCCCGAAACUGCAGAGCUUGAGUGCCGGAGAGGGUGGCGGAAUUCCCCAAGUAGAGGUGAAAUUCGUAGAUAUGGGGAGGAACACCGGUGGCGAAGGCGGCCACCUGGACGGUAACUGACGCUUAGGCGCGAAAGGGUUGGGAGCAAACAGG